AAAAGAGGAAGUUGUUUUACUGCAAUGUCCUUACUGUGCAAAAAAUAGCCUGCUGGGAUAGCAAGUGGCCCUCAGCUCCCUCAGCAGGAACGCGUUAACCCCUGUGAGUCCUGGGACCUGCUCAGUCUAGAUACAUUGCAAUAUUUGUUCUCUGAUCGAGGAAUCUGAUAAAUGCAGCAAAACUCAGAAGGAGCAAAGCCUGCCUGUACAAGCAAAGCCCCUCUGCACUUUCUCUGCCCCUUGCACAGGCACUGCUACUGAACCACAGAGGAGGAAGAAAGCUGCCACGCAGAUUAGUCCUGUUUGCCCCUGCUGCUCACUGCUGUGUCCACCACGAGCGGAGAAGGCUCCAAAGCUGGGAUCCUGGAGCAGCUCGAUUACAGAAUUGACUGUUUCCCACUUGGAGGGGGCAUACAUUGUUGUGCUCCUCCAGAAGAAAACCGAGAACCAAGGGCUGCCGAUCUGCAUGCAGUACAUGAACCUGGGUCUGGAGCAAGGUGAUCGGUGCUGCUCAGGGAAGCAAUGGAGAUCCUUGUCCAUGAGCACACCGAGCUGCUCCAUGGACUCUUCCACUAAAAAAGAUACUGAAAGUGUGGGGUGAAUGGAGACAGUCUGCUAUUCCACUGCACACUUCCCUGUGCUUCUAAUUUAAGACUGCCAUUCAGACUGAAGUUUCCAGGUUGGCUCAUGAUGAAUCCGUAGUCUGUAUGCAGUGCCUGAGAGAGAUUUCCGUAUCCUGAAAUAACAGAAGGCUUGUGAUACAUCACUUCAUGACCCCACAGCUCUCUGCAACUUAUAGUGUGGAGGACUGAUGUCACCAAACUGUUGUACAACAGAACAGUCACUGUGCAACAAUCCUUCACUUAAAGCCCAGAGAACUGUACUGAUGAGGAAAGACAUGCAGCUUUCCAUGCCAGGUAAAAAUAAUGGGCAUAUGUAUUUCUGUAUUUGCACAAGGACGGCCUGCUUUCUUUGGUGCCUUCCAAAGAGUUGCUGGCAGUGCUCUUAACAGAAAAAAAAAAAGAGAGAGAGAGCAAGAGUGAAUACUGACCUCCAGGCGACCCAGCUUUGAAUGUCAGUGAUUUGCAGUUCCACAGCACAAUUUGCUUGCUCCUGAGUUAGUUUUAAUAUGAAGGAACCGGCAAAGACACAAUAAAAUAUUGUCCCAAGUUUGUAAACUGCAUCAGUCAAGUUCCCGUCUGUCAAAGUCAGAAGUAGGUGGGGGCCAGGCUUGUAUUUGCCCUGGUAGCUCAUGUUCAUAUAAGCUCAGAAGGCAGUGGAACAAGGGAAGGGUUGCAAGGGCUGCAGAGCAGACAUCAGUUAUGCUUGGCUGCAGAGAGGCACCUGGCUGGAGUCUGAUUUUACAACAAAGGCCCCACAUCUAACUGUUUUGGGGAUGUUUAAAGCUGUGUUUUCAAAGCACGCCAUUACAGUGAGCCCUCUGGGAAAAGCUGGCUGCAACUUUUAGUGCCCAAAAAUGCAGGCUAAGCUGUUCUGAAGAUCUAGCUCUGCUUGUGGCUGCUGAACUGUUGUGAAAGCCGAACCCUUUUUUCAUAUAAACACCCAACUGCCUGGUGUCAAGUCGGGCUUGCAAGAUAAGAUAAGCGUGCUUCAGUGAGGGAUAAAUGGAGGAGAGUUUAUGGAAACUGAGUUACGGCAAAGAGAUAGCAUCAAGAAUCAGGGGGUUUAUGUGGUGCUUUGCACAGUAAAGGUGGAUAGAGAGUGUAUGUGGUCUUCAGAGCUGUGGGAGGGUUGGGUUUCCCCACCCUGUCACUGUGGCAGCCACGAACUCAACGCAAGAGGUCCGAGCAGGGGACCUGGAAGCCCCAUGGCAGGGCCAGCGGGACCUCAGAGGCAAGUGGAGAGGAGGGCGAUGAGAGGAAUGGAGGGAAUGUGAUAAGGCCGGGGGAGGGCUCGUGGAGGGAAGGGGAAGGAGCAACCCAGGGAAAAGAGGGGGGGUGAGGGAGGUUUGGGUCCCUCAGCUGAGAUACCAGGGAACCGCUCUGUGGAGGUGUGUCCCAUUUCAGCAGUGUAUACCUGGCCAGAGUCCCUCCAGCCAUCCCCAAUGGCAGGCACAGAGGGCAGCGUGCUGCCAGCAGCCACUUGCCCUGGGCACCAGUGCCUUCAGAAAUAACAAGCCUCUGUUGCUGUUGUCCUUGUGUUUGUGGAUGGCUUGGCCCAAGCAAAGAUGAAAGCUGGUGGAGAUGCAUAAGUUGUGGAAGUUUCUGUGCAGGCAACACAGGUUUGUGUGAUUGUACCUUAGAGACUUUUUUUUUUUUUUAAGAGAGAGCUCUUGCUCUUUGAAAAGGUCUUCAGAGCCACUUGCUUUUUAUCUGUGUUGCUCUCACUGGCUGCUUUAACAGUUAGUAUCUGCAGUAAUGAGUUAGAGAUGCUGUCAUUGUGCUUCUGUUGGUGGUGGGUGUUUUAAGGGGAGGGCUGAUACCUCCUAAAAUGAUCGUGCCUGAGUCACGCAGGUGGAGCAGUGUAAUUCCCCAGCACAGGAAAGCUCGGGGCAUGGCGAGUGGUUGCGUUGCAGCAGGGGAGCGGGCUGAGCUGUGCUGAGCACUGCCGCGCUGCUGGAGCCACAGCCCUGUCAGAUCUGGUGUAACGUUUCUGGCUCCAGCACUAACCCAAGCGUCUGCACAUCCUUAUCAGCAAGCCUCGCAGGUAGCAUUACGUGUUUGUCCACUUGGAAUAGAAAUAUUCCUUAACUCUGAACCUCCCUGGCCUCUGUCUUCAUCUGCUAUCCUCUCUUGGUGGUCGGUGUACUCUAUUGACUGAUAUACCUCCUGGCCUUAACCUUUAUGGAUAUGUAAAUUCAUGCUUGCAAUAUCUCACAACCUUUAGAAUUGUAAAAAAAAUACUAUUAGAGAAAAUCCAUCAUGAUGCAAAUGUACAAGUGAGUCUGCAUCAUCUUAUCCCCACGCAGGCGAGCUCAUGACCAGGUGGUUUUGAAACAUGAAAAUAACCAAAGCCCUGUAUCCGAACAACUGGACUUUUACAGAGAUUUAAAUCAAACUGGAAUUUAGUAGCUCAGAAACACUUUGAGAAAGCUCUAGGAGAAACAGAGGCAAACUUUAAAGCUGUGAGUGGAGUAAGUCAGUGAAACAUACAACAGACAAAGCUAGGCAGGCUAGAGAUUGUAGUUAGCACCCGACUCUGCUUCACCUAGAGCUUAUAGAGGAUUCUUUGGCAUAGAUCCUAAAUUUUUGCAGCCAACUGAUCAGUUUUAAUUCUCAGUUUCUUGCAGGCCAUCAUACAUUUAGCUGAAAGUAUUAGAAGGAGGGUGCGCUGUAGAUUUCCUGGCCUCCCAGACCAGACUUCGUUGCUGGCACAGAAAAUACUGUGUGGAAAGAGCUGUGGUAAGGAAAGAUUUCACAAUGUCAGCAGUACCCAAAGGGAGGACAAGGUGGAGCUCUUGAUGAGUAAUGGGAUGUUUGGUACCAGCAGGUCUGAAUGUCUCAGACAAAAGUUGUGAUUUCAUCCUGGUAUUUGGGUGAAGAUCUGGUCUGCCAAGUGGGCUGCGGCCACCCCGGUUUCCCCUCACAAAAAAAGGUGUAACCUCCCCUCCCUUGCCAUCUGGGUGCCGGCAAGGGAAGGCAUUGCACCCCUGUUCUUGCUCCAUCCAACCAGCCAGCAAACAGGCCUCCUGAGCUUUGCAGGGUUGCUUCCCAGGCAGCGUUCCCAGGCGUUUUGAAGAGCCUGUGGCUCUUCAAAGCCCUCCUCCUUUUCCCCAAACCAGCUGUUGCUUUCCCAUCACCAUGCAUACUCGCAAUGUCUUGCUGUCUUCAGCAGAAACUCCUGCUCUUGCAGGAGGUGCCAACACUGCCACACCACUCCGGGAAAAGCAGCUGAACUCUGUGCUGCAGCUGGAUUUCAGUGAGGUAUUUUGAUCUCGGGGUAAUAAGAUGUGCCAGUGAAAAAGAUGUGUGUGAUCAGUGCGCUGUUGUUGUGAGCUGAAGCAGAAUAUGGCGAGGAGCCUGCAUUAAUUAGUAUUAAACCACAGUUGGCAGAUGCUGACUCCUUCAUAGAGUUGCUCGAGGGCACAAAAAUCGCGUUUGGGUGGAUGGGUGAGGUGCAGAGACAGCACCAGGAAGCAGGGCUUAUACCAAGACGGUGCAGAAACCCGCGUGGUGGGGUUGGGUAAAGAACCGCGUCAAAGCAAGAAGAGAUGCCCAUGAAUUACAUCUCCCUUUUCACUUGGACACUGAAGUCAGCCAGCAGCAGAGAGAAAUUGUUUGGCCUCUUCUGGCCAGGAAAAUGCAACUGUGAUUGCUGAUCACUGCCUGAGACAGCUCGGGGGGUGGGGGUGGAGAGAGGAGGAAUAUCCCAGUAUAUGAAAACGGGGAGCCUUUUUUCACCAGUAGAUCUCAAUGUGUUUUGCAGAGAAAGUCUCUAUGGUUAUUUCCAUUUUUAUUUAUUUAUUUAUUUAUUUAUUUGUUUGUUUGUUUUCAGGGGGAAUACAGAGUUCAGGUACCUGAGGCACAGGAAGGGGAGGGGAGUCAGGUGUAGGAAAUCUGCAUUAACUGUUCCUAACUCUUUAGGGACUCAUGAUAAUUAAAGAAAACAUAUGGAGAGCCUUUGGCUGCCAUGAAGUCUCCAUAAACUAAAACAGAGCUACCUGCAAUUCAUUGCCUCUAUUUUGUGAUUGUCCUUUGAGCAUAAGAUCCAGUCCUGUACAGGAAUAGGGAUUUUUUUUCCUGUUUCCCUUUUACCAGCAGUAAGUAAUGUUUCCAAUAAAGAAUGCAGGGUACCAGCAUAACUGGCAAUGGAAAUAACUCCCCUGGGCUCUCAGGUUGGUAUUUGGCUGCUAGCAAGUGCUGCCUCGCUCAGAGUCCUGUGGGCAUAUUCAGUCAUGUUCUCACAGACUUCAGGGGAAGAUGAAGUGUCACUUCAGCUUCUUUCCCGCAAAUGGUUGGUUUUCCCACCACCACCCGAACAAGAGCCUCCAGCACUGAACACAAUGGAUUGUUAAACCUAAAUUGAUGCCUUUAGUAUUACUGGAAUACAAGUAAAGAAAAUUUCAACACAGCAUUGAAAAUGUCACCUUCACUGUGGCAUUGUAGGCGAGCUGACACGAAUUCUUAUUUUGUUUGCUUGUGGAAGAAAACUGUCAUUUUCGUUACUAAAAUAUUUGCUCAUUGGAUGGAAAUGAUUACAAAUGGAACAAAACAAAAUGUUUUGAUUAAAUACAGGGCUGAUCUUGUUUUUUCCAGUAAAUGUUUGAUGUUUUCAGUUCUCUUCCCCCUCUCCCGGGGAUAACAUAACAGACAGUUAUAGAUCACCUUCCAUCCCACAAGAUCCCUGAUUGUGUAGGGAUUGCUUCCUUUGGCACUGAGAUGUUGCUGCCCAUGGGCCAAACAGCAUUUAACCAUGUAGCUGCCCAAGGUACUGCAGUGAAGGCUGUCUUCCACCGAGCAGGGGAGUUUUCAGGAGGCAGAUUCCAGUCCAUAAUCCGUGCCAAACCCGGGGGCUAACACUGAAGUGUCAGAUCUGGCUACCCCAUGGCUGAGGAAUGCAAACCAGCGGCUGUCCAAAUUCCAGGCACGGUGCUGGGAACAGCUGCAACAAAACCAAGUCCCACCAACUUUGAUCUUGGAUCUCCUGCACAGAAUUAAAGGGGUAACUGAGCCUGGGCCUGAGGCACAGGCGUUUGGGGAAGCAGCACUGGGAGUCUGCAGAGUUUUCAUGGGAGUUUCUGAGCAUAUGACGAUAAGGCAAAGAUAACUCUCCUUUAUUGUCAUGAUCCAUUUCUUUCACUGUGAGCGCUUCGAGGCCCAUGCAGGAUCACAGCGGGGACAUCGGCAGAUAUGUGGUACUCUCUGCAUCAUGCUUCUUUGUUUGGGUUGAAGGGGUGAUGCUUUGCCCUAGAUCAACUUUGUAAAUAGGGCUGGAGUGAGAAAAGAUUUGUCUGCGUAGAUCCAAACACUCUCCUUGCUCCUCCUGCUUUUCUCUGGGGUUUGAUGUGACGGGUUCACAUACCUGUCACUUCCCUGGGAUAUGAGCAGCUGCCAGAACCCCCUCUGGCUGCUGUCAGUCCAGCUCAAGACACUUUUGCAGGAGUGGCUCAAACAGAAGAGGGUGCUGUCUAUACCCAUACGGCAUUCAAACCCCACUGUAGUCAGAGUGAGGAAUCGUAUUUCCCCCACCCCUGCCCUCUGGGUAAGAAAAGACAAACAUAUCAUAAAGGUACCGUAAUAAGUCUGCUAGAGAUGUCUUUGCAGUCUCUUUCUCCUCCCCAAACUGGAAUGUGCCUAAGCUCCUUCUGGUCUGCUUCUUUCUUUUUUCUGGCAGCCCUUGGGGAAGGCACCUAAUACCUUUUAGCAAACAUUAUUUAUGGACUCAGAACACCAGAAACGUGUUUUUACAAAUAGUCUGUACAAUAUGUCCUAAGCCCUCCUGUCUGGCACCUAUUUAUGUAAGUCCACAAUGCUCAGAUUUCUUAGGCUUUUUGCUGCAAGCCAGAUUUAUUGAUCCUGCGCUGUUUCCACAUGAGCAGAGUACUGUAACGACUGAUGAUCUGCGCUUGUAUGACUUGCACAGUAGUGUCUCCAACUUCACAGCUUCUGGUGAUUCCUGCUUAGGUCCUAGUGCCAAUAUUUGGUACUUCAGGAAAAGAUAAAGGUCAGUGCUAGCCCCCAAGGACCAGUGUGACAUUGCACAGCACCCUAGGAUGCUACAGACUUGCCCCUCAGAGGGUGAGCUCACUUGGUCUGUAGUGCAUCAUCUCUUACCUAGCAUCACUCCAUUCUGUGAGGCCCAUAGUAGUAGUUAGAUGCAUCUAUAGGCCUUGUGGGAGCUUUGCUUAUGUAGCCAGCACGGAGGUUAAAGAGGGGGUUUAUACAAGAGAGCAGCUGUACAUACACUUUUUAUCAAAGCUACCUAUGAAAACUACCUUCUUUCCAAUGAAAACCACUGUCUUUGUUAGCAUUUCUGUCUUUUCAGGAUGAAGACCACAGCAUAAAAUCUUCUGAGAGAAGUUCCCAUGUUUGUCUUCAAGGAAGGCUCUAUCUUGUCGACUGGUGUUUUCUGAAUGCUGGCAGAGAUGAUGGGACUUGCUGACUUCAGACAAGAUGCCAAAGCAUGCAGAGAGGACUCCACUGUAAACAAUACCUUAAAAUUCAUUUUAAAAGGAGAAAGAGAUGAGGGGAGGAAAAACAAAAUACCCAGAGACGCUGACUUGCCCUCUACAGUCAUACUCCCUCACUGGUGAUUAAUCAUCUCCCCCUUUGAGCCCAACAGACCAGCUACAUUACAUUCCACAUUUUCUUUAUUGCUGGCAAGAAAUUCACUUUCUGGCAUGCCUUUUGUAGGAUUCAAAAUGCCUUUGUGCUGCGGUGAGUGUGAGGGAAGGGAGUUUCACUUCUCUGAAGAUAUGCUAAAAGCAUACAUUACGGGCUGAGCUCUCCACCCCACCCAGGUUGCAGGGAGACAUUUUUGGUUCCCAGACCCCUCAUCUCUGGCACCUGGUGGACUUAACAGGCUGGAGAGUGGCUCUGGGUACAUCGCUGCCUGCUGCGGGAGGUCAAUGUUGUCUUGCCAAGUGUAAGCCUCUUCUGACUCAUUGAAAAACUGGGUAGGGAGGAAUCUGAAGGAAUGGGAUUUCAAAUGAGAGAGUAACUUCCAUUUGCUGUCUGCGUGCUGUGAACCAAGUGAAUUUUGUGCCCUGUCUAUGGUACAAAGCUUAAGUAAAUUACAUUUAUACGUACAGUUGCAGGCAAAGCAUGUAUAAUGUAGAUUCCCCUGAAGACAGUCUGAGCUUGGUAAAGGUGUUGUCUGUGCCCUAGAAAAAGGUUCUCAAUGGCACUGAAAAGUCUCUUUCCACCAUGGCUGUGGUGUGUGGUUCAUGGGGUGGUGUAAAUGGGAUUCUGGUCCUCUUUACUGCAGGGUUAAACCAUGAUCUUGCUAAUAAUGCAGUAUUUCCUGGUGUUUGUUAUGACAAAUGAAUGGGUAGAGAACAUUUUCUUGCUGAUAAAGCUUGUAUGCUAGCCCACUUCUGAAGGAGUUACAAAAGAACAAGACUAAUCAUCUCAGGCAAACCAGCUGUCAUGCAAUGGGACUGAAUCAGUGAUCAAAAGCCACAAAAGAAGGAACUGGUGUGCUGCCCACAGGUGGAUGUUGCUUGGAAUACACUCGCAUGCUGUCCAUGCUGGUGUAUGCCUGCACGUGCAUGCCUCCUCUCUCUGUGCACUCAGCCUGUACCAAGCUCUCAACUUGCAUGUUUGGUACAUUUGGUCUACCGAUGUUUGUGUUUCCCCUUUGCCUGCCAGCAAACAUUUCACAAGAGUUUUUCUUUACCAUGACUUAGAGGUCAUUGUCUCAUGUGACAGCUCAAAAAUGUAAUCUUUCCUGGCCAGAGUUGACUCAGACCAUGAGGAAAAGCAGGGGGCUGGCGUGUUCGAAUGCAGGAGAGGGCUCUCUGGACCUGUACCUCUAUGGGUUGCAGUGCAGCAAUUGCAAAGCUGCACCCUGUGAUCAUUUUUCUAGAUCCCUUAGAAACAGCCUGCAAACUCCCCACAGAUCACAGGCUGUGCUCUCCCCCUCUGCCUCAACUGUGAUGUUUUCAUUUCUGGCAGCCAAAAGCAAUGAAGUGGUUUAGGGACCAACUAAAUUGGAUGCUUUCUGGGGUUUGGAGCCACCUCGCACUCCUGGGAUGACUGGAAAUAAAGCUAUAAGCUCUGAUCUUAGUAUGUGUUUGCAUCAAGUAAGAGCAGCCUGGAGUUUUGGAGCAGAAGGUUAUCGGGAUUUGUUUUGCUUCUCAUACCAUCGUGUACGAAGUUGGUGCCUAUCUGAAAGCAAAGCCACAAAUCAUUGCAGAGGUAGGCACUUAUGGGCAGAGAAACUAGGAGAGGAUUUUGUUACAGUUACCUGAAGUCGGGAAAUGCAUUGCUGGCAGAGCUUACACUUGAAAGAUUUGGACCAGGUGAUGAGCUGGAUAAAACUGUCAUUUCUUAACAGAUGUCAUAUUCUCAGUUAAAAGUGAAAGUGCUGUAACACCCAGAUUUAAUCAUAGUGAACACAAGCAAUCUUUUAAGCAAUGCACAAAUAAAAGGUCUGUAUUCAAGCACCAGGCUAAGAGCUGACUGUAAUGGUCAGAUGAACGUGGUGAUUUUUUUUUUUUCCAAUUUUGCAUCAGGUUUUUUUGAGGGAUGGUCCUGUUCUCCAAGAGAACUGCUUACCUGCUGAAUUACACUAUCAAUCCUUAUCCCUGACAACCUUAAUCCUGCUCUGGUUUGCCUGGGCUGCAUGCUGCAGCAGGAGCUAGAAAACUGAGAGAUGUAUGCAGAAAAGUCUUGGGAUGUUGAUGUACAGAAUGGUGGGUGGUGUUAUUUAGAUGUCUUUGUAAACAAACAAAUACACCUGAUUAAAGCUGGCUGUCCAUGGAGGUUUCUGCCUCUCUCUGCACACCCCACCCUUUUCUCUGCAGCUAUGGGGAUUUCAGGGUACUUGAAAGGCCGGGUUGGAAAUGGGUGUCUCAGAUGCUACUUUACAUAUGGUUCAGCUCCUACUGGUGGAGAUGGAGCAAAUCUGGAGGAAGGCUGUUUCACUGCAGCACGGUAUUUUUGUCAUUUGGUGAGGAGUUUCAGUCCAGCCAUCAGCAAACACCAUUCCCAGUACCCUGCAACCCUGGCUGCCAGCUCAGAGGAGAACUAGUUUAUUACUACUACAGAGGGGAUGGCGCACAAACACGCUCCUGCCUCACUGAUCAACACAUCUCACCUUCUAUGUUUCGGGCCCACAAGCUACAUAAUUGAACUUGAAGGCAAGAGCCCCUUCUCGGGGGCUGUGCAGCCAUCUAGCGUUGCUAUAUAUAUAGCACGCUGGUUAACGUCAGCCCCUAGGUCACUUCAGUGCUUUUCUCCUACACGUCUCCCAGCUGAAUGUUUAACUCUAAGGUAAAGGAAAUUUAGUUAAACUUGCUAAUCCAUUAAUCUUAGUGACCUCUGAUAUUUUUGACCACCUGAAAAUUGUGCUUGUGGAUGGAGAAGAGGCUGCUACUACAGUAUUUCUUCUAGCUGUAGCAGGUAUGGGUUGCUACUAUCAGGAAGAGCUGCUGCAUGUUAGCAGUGUUGAUUCUUGGGAAAAGGAAAGGAAAGCAAAGCAAAGCAAAGCAAAGGAAAGGAAUUUAAAUUUGAAGAUCAGCAAGCAAACCUAAGGAAUGCCACUGCUAUCUGCCAGUAUACAGGUUCCGCAGUGCUUUGGAGACUUUCUUAUGUGUUCAGGAGUAGGAAAGCUUUGUACAUAUAUUGUGAAUGAGUAGGACAAAUAUCCUGAAUCUAUAUUUCUCACUUUUCUCACCUAGAAAAAAACAGCUUAUUUCAAAGUCUCAGCUUCCUCUUCGGUCCUUCAGCAGGCAGGGCAAUUAGUGCAAGGCACUGCUUUUACAGUUAGGAAUAAAUUUAUAAGGAAACCUGUGUAGGCACGGAGCAUGAUGAAACAGCAUGCAUUCUUGUGUUGCAUACCAGAGCGACAAGCAAAUUUCAAAGGUGACAGUCCAGGGUUACUGUGUGUUAGCGGCAGCCACUUGGCUAAUCUGAGAACAGAACCGUCUUUGUUUACAAUCUCCGUUUUUCUAAUUCUUAUCUCCUCUCUUGCACUGUAAUUUCCCCCAGCACCCUCUGUGCCUCUAGGUUCAUCUUUCUCUGCACUUUGCCUUAUACUGUAUCAAUGUCCAAGUGUGUUACAAGGGACGUUCAUCUUCCAAAACAAAAGGUGAUGGACCUGCAACUUUCUACACCUCAGUAACAAGUCAAGGACUACUGAGAUAAAAGGCAUUUCUUCGGGAUAGAGGUUACAUGUUACAAGCUCUUUGCCUGGGCUUUAUGGAGAUCUUAAUGGAGAUCUAUGCCAUGCAGACACACCAUUUUAUGGAUCCUGAUGCACUUCUGGAAGGGCCUACCAGCUCUGCCCAUUUAACAUCUCACAGCAUUUGCCUAAGAUAGUUUUUGAAAGGCAUGCUUUACAAGGAGUCUUCCACUGCAUCAAGUUUUGUGGGCAUAAGAUAUCUGAAUGUCUCUCCCUGUGAAAGGGAUGGCAAUCAUGAUGCUGAGCAGUGCAAGGGGAGGGGGCCAACUUGAGCCAUAGCCCCACUACCUACCAGCACAUUCCCUUACCCCAAAAAGCUUACAGGCACAGUGUCAGGCAGAGCAGGAAACAUGAAACAAAAUUGUCUGUGUCAAAGUGAUUAGUUAAAGUGAUAAUUUAAUUAAAGUGAUUAAAGUGAUAAUCUGAUGUAAGGCAGCUCUCUCUUACAAUUGUUAAUGUUUUAAUGUUAUUACAUAGUUUUAUGAUAUAUCAUAGUUUUAGUGAUAUUACAAAGUAACGUAUGCAUACAGGAGUGAGAUGGAACAUUUGUAUUGUGUUAUGUAUUUUAUUGAGAGACUUAUUUUCUUUUGCUAAGGUAUGUAAAUUAAAUUGUGCAGAUCUUAUGUUUUUGUUGUUGUUGUUGUUGUUUGUUUAAGAAGCAGAGGUGUUAACAUUUACAUCCCAGCCAAAAUCUUCACAAUUUCAUUUUCCCAAGUGCUCCAGAAGCUCUAGUGGCACCUUCAUCCCUGCUUCCUGCCUGGAACUGGUGUUGGGAGUCACUUAAGCCACCACAGCUUAAGCUGCAUUUCUGCGGUUGUCUAGGUGAUUAUUCUGCUCUAAUGAUAUAGUUUAGUAAGUAUUUUGAAGUCUCACAAAAUGGAAGAUAUCUUAAAAAAUAAAAGUUUUGUUUAUUUAUUGUGAUGUCUUGAGAAUAGUGGAAAGUGAACUAGAAUCUUGAAAAAGGCUGCAUUCAAUUGCCACAAUGCCAAUAAAAUACUUUAUUAGGGGUUAAUAACAUUAUUCCCUGUUAACACUUCCUCACAUCAAUGUAGAACCAUCUUGUGCUAGCCUCCAAACUAUGUCUUGCAAAACAGAAUCACUUUUCCAUAAACCACAUUACAACAUCCAGAAUCAACAUCUAAGGCUUGGGAAUGAGAAGAAUGCCAUCCACCUCAGUUGUUACUGGAGUUGUUUGUUCUGCUGCUGCUUCUUUCUGCCCCUUUUCUCCCUUCCCAUGUCUCUUUUAGAGCCGGGAGCUCCGCUCCCCAUGCACAUGGAGUUUAAACUAGUGACCCCUUGGACAGUCAGGUGCGAGAAAUUGCUAGCACAGUGUUUUUUUUAUUAUUUAUUUAUUUUUUAAUGGAUCGGAGGUGAUAAGAUAAGCCCAGAGUUAUUUUGACAGCUGAUGUUUUUCGGGUCAAGCUGGAGUGUUUGUGUUCUCAACACCAGAAAUAUUUACUUGAACGCAAUCUACGCAGCGGGAAAGGUUUUCCAUCAGUGGUGGUGGCGGCGGUGCAGCUCUCGCUCGGUUUUAAGCGUUCCCCUGCCCUCUCCUGGCACAGACGAGAAGCGUUCAAGGAAAUGGUGGAGUCACCUUCCCUGGGGGUGUUCAAGGAAAGGUGGUGCUUGGGGACAUGGUGUAGCGGGUGCCAUUGGUGGUAGGGCGAUAGUUGGACCAGGUGAUCUUGCAGGGCUUUCCAACCAUAAUGAUUCUAUGAAACACACGUGUCCACAGGGACAGGAACCCACUGAAACGUCCAAGACCAACAUGCAAUGAAUGCAACGUGUUUCUACAAGCCCUCACAAAAGCAGGCGACCGCUCCCCCCACCCCCCCCCAAAA